AUACGGAGGAUGCAAGCGUUAUCCGGAUUUAUUGGGUUUAAAGGGUGCGUAGGCGGGACUGUAAGUCAGGGGUGAAAUACUGCAGCUUAACUGUAGCAUUGCCUUUGAAACUGCCGUUCUUGAGUACAGUUGAGGUAGGCGGAAUGUGGUGUGUAGCGGUGAAAUGCAUAGAUAUACCACAGAACGCCGAUUGCGAAGGCAGCUUACUAAGCUGUUACUGACGCUGAGGCACGAAAGCGUGGGGAUCAAACAGGAUUAGAUACCCUGGUAGUCCACGCAGUAAACGAUGAUAACUAACCGCUGGGUCGUAGUGAUUCAGUGGCCAAGCGAAAGCGAUAAGUUAUCCACCUGGGGAGUACGACCGCAAGGUUGAAACUCAAAUGAAUUGGCGGGG
rnacentral:rRNA from 1 species